CCUACGGGUGGCAGCAGUGAGGAAUAUUGGUCAAUGGGCGGAAGCCUGAACCAGCCAAGUAGCGUGCGGGAUGAAGGCCCUACGGGUCGUAAACCGCUUUUGCACGGGGAUAACACCCUCCACUCGUGGAGGUCUGCAGGUACCGUGCGAAUAAGGGCCGGCUAAUUCCGUGCCAGCAGCCGCGGUAAUACGGAAGGUCCGAGCGUUAUCCGGAUUCAUUGGGCUAAAAGGGAGCGUAGGCGGCGGUUCAAGUCAGCGGUAAAAUCGCGCGGCUCAACCGCGGCCCGCAGUUGAUACUGGACGCCUUGAGAUCACAACAGGCAGGCGGAAUGCGUGGUGUAGCGGUGAAAUGCAUAGAUAUCA
rnacentral:rRNA from 1 species